rnacentral:rRNA from 1 species
GACGAACGCUGGCGGCGUGCUUAACACAUGCAAGUCGAACGGAAAGGCCCUGCUUUUGUGGGGUGCUCGAGUGGCGAACGGGUGAGUAACACGUGAGUAACCUGCCCUUGACUUUGGGAUAACUUCAGGAAACUGGGGCUAAUACCGGAUAGGAGCUCCUGCUGCAUGGUGGGGGUUGGAAAGUUUCGGCUGUUGGGGAUGGACUCGCGGCUUAUCAGCUUGUUGGUGUGGUAGUGGCUUACCAAGGCUUUGACGGGUAGCCGGCCUGAGAGGGGGACCGGCCACAUGGGGACUGAGAUACGGCCCAGAAUCCUACGGGAGGCAGCAGGGGGGAAUAUUGCACAAUGGGCGGAAGCCUGAUGCAGCAACGCCGCGUGCGGGAUGACGGCCUUCGGGUUGUAAACCGAUUUCGAAUGUGACGAAGCGUGAGUGACGGUAAUGGGUAAAGAAGCACCGGCUAACUACGUG